rnacentral:tRNA from 1 species
GGAGAGAUGCCGGAGCGGUUGAACGGCCCUGACUCGAAAUCAGUGGGGGCAGCAAUGCCCACUAGGGUUCGAACCCCUAUCUCUCCGCCA